GAUGAAGAACGUAGCGAAAUGCGAUAAGUAGUGUGAAUUGCAGAAUUCAGUGAAUCAUCGAAUCUUUGAACGCACAUUGCGCCCUUUGGUAUUCCUUAGGGCAUGCCUGUUCGAGCGUCAUUUCAACCCUCAAGCCCUGCUUGGUGUUGGGCGUUUGUCCUGCCUCCGCGCGGGACUCGCCUCAAAGACAUUGGCGGCCGGUUUCCCUUUGCAGGCCACGAGCGCAGCACAGCGAGCGCUCUACGUGGACGCGGGGUCGGCGCACCAGAAGCCCUCUUUCUCGAAUUUUGACCUCGGAUCAGGUAGGGAUACCCGCUGAACUUAAGCAUAUCAAUAAGCGGAGG
rnacentral:misc_RNA from 1 species